CCUACGGGGGGCAGCAGUGAGGAAUAUUGGUCAAUGGACGAGAGUCUGAACCAGCCAAGUAGCGUGAAGGAUGACUGCCCUAUGGGUUGUAAACUUCUUUUAUAAAGGAAUAAAACGAGGCACGUGUGCCUUUUUGCAUGUACUUUAUGAAUAAGGAUCGGCUAACUCCGUGCCAGCAGCCGCAGUAAUACGGAGGAUCCGAGCGUUAUCCGGAUUUAUUGGGUUUAAAGGGAGCGUAGAUGGGUUGUUAAGUCAGUUGUGAAAGUUUGCGGCUCAACCGUAAAAUUGCAAUUGAUACUGGCAGUCUUGAGUACAGUUGAGGUAAGCGGAAUUCGUGGUGUAGCGGUGAAAUGCUUAGAUAUCACGAAGAACCCCGAUUGCGAAGGCAGCUUACUAAACUGUGACUGACAUUGAUGCUCGAAAGUGUGGGGAUCAAACAGGAUUAGAUACCCGUGUAGUC
rnacentral:rRNA from 1 species